rnacentral:rRNA from 1 species
UUCGAUCCUGGCUCAGAUUGAACGCUGGCGGGAUCGCUACACAUGCAAGUCCAGAACUGGCAGCACGGACUUCGGUCUGGUGGCGAGUGGCGAACGGGUGAGUAAUGUAUCGGAACGUGCCUAGUAGCGGGGAUACUACGCGAAAGCGUAGCUAUCUACCAUACGCCCUUCGGGGGAAAGCGGGGGACCUUCGGGCCUCGCACUAUUAGAGCGGCCGAUAUCGGAUUAGCUAGUUGGUGGGGUAACGGCUCACCAAGGCGACGAUCCGUAGCUGGUUUGAGAGGACGACCAGCCUUCCACACUGGGACUGAGACGCGGCCCGUUUUCCUACACGGAGAACCAGCAGUGGGGAAUUUUGGACAAUGGGGAAACCCUGAUCCAGCCAUCCGCGUGUACGAUGAAGGCCUUCGGGUUGUAAGCACUUUGGCAGGAAAGAAACAGCGCAGGAUAAUACCCCGUGCAACUGACGAAACACCUGCAGAAUAAGCACCGGCUAACUGCGUGCCAGCAGCCGCGGUAAUACGUAGGGUGCAAGCGUUAAUCGGAAUUACUGGGCGUAAAGCGUGCGCAGGCGGUUCGGAAGAAAGAUGUAAGGAAAAUCCCAGAGCUUAACUUUGGAACUGCAUUUUUAACUACCGAGCUAGAGUGUGUCAGAGGAGGUGGAAUUCCGCGUGUAGCAGUGAAAUGCGUAGAUAUGCGGAGGAACACCGAUGGCGAAGGCAACCUCCUGGGUGCUGCUGACGCUCAUGCACGAAAGCGUGGGGAGCAAACAGGAUUAGAUACCCUGGUAGUCCACGCCCUAAGCGGUAUGUCAACUGGCUGUUACGGGGCCUUCGGGCCUUGGUAGCGCAGCUAACGCGUGAAGUUGACCGCCUGGGGAGUACGGUCGCAAGAUUAAAACUCAAAGGAAUUGACGGGGACCCACACAAGCGGUGGAUGAUGUGGAUUAAUUCGAUGCAACGCGAAAAACCUUACCUACCCUUGACAUGUCUGGAAUCCCGAAGAAGAUUUGGAGUGCUCGCAAGAGAACCGGAACACAGGUGCUGCAUGGCUGUCGCGUCGGCUCGUGUCGUGAGAUGUUGGGUUAAGUCCGCAACGAGCACAACCCUUGUCGUUAGUUGCUACGAAAGGGCACUCUAAUGAGACUGCCGGUGACAAACCGGAGGGAAGGUGGGGAUGACGUCAAGUCCUCAUGGCCCUUAUGGGUAGGGCUUCACACGUCAUACAAUGGUCGGGACGGUCGCCAACCCGCGAAGAGAAUAAUCCCGAAACCCGAUCGUAGUCCGGAUGUGAUCUGCAGCUAGGCUGCGUGAAGUCGGAAUGUCGUCGCGGAUCGGCAUGUCGCGGUGGGCCGUUCCCGGGUCUUGUACACGCCGUCACACCAUGGGAGUGGGUUUACCCGGAAGCCAGAUUCGCCUAACCGUAAGGAGGGCGAUUACCACGGUAGGAUUCAUGACUGGGGUGAAGUCAUAGCUCGACAA